UACGGAAUGUGCAAACGUUAUUCGGAAUCACUGGGCUUAAAGAGUCCGUAGGCGGCAUGUUAGGUGAGGUGUGAAAUCCCCCGGCUCAACCGAGGAAUUGCGCUUCAAACCGGCGUGCUAGAGGAAGAUAGAGGUGGGCGGAACUGAUGGUGGAGCGGUGAAAUGCAUUGAUAUCAUCAGGAACACCGGAGGCGAAGGCGGCCCACUGGGUCUUUCCUGACGCUGAGGGACGAAAGCUAGGGGAGCGAACGGG
rnacentral:rRNA from 1 species